CUAAAAAAAGGCAUGUUAAGUCGAACUCGAAAUGUAUCGUUGUUCUCGAAAGUCUCGAAGUUAUUUGUUGCCGCUUUUCCGCGAUGCUGAUUGGUUCUCUUGCUGUGCGAACUUUAUGAGCGACUGUCAUCGCGGAGAUUUUGUACUGAGCUUAUUUAUUAUCUAUUAUCAUUUUGUAUUGAGGUUAUUUAGUAUUUAUAUCAUUAUGUUUUUAUCAUCAGUUUGCAUGUGUAAUGUCUGAUAACUCUUUUCUGUGACAAACUUCGUGAGCGGCUGUCAUCGUAGAAAAAUCUCUGACUUGGAAGUCUCGUUGACACAUUGUGGAGAUUUUGUACUGAGGUUAUUCGCGCGUGUGUAGUGUCUGGUGACUCUUCGGCGACACUGAUUGAUCGUUGAUUUCUCUGACGAGCGUUUGUCAUCGUCAAAAUUAUUUAUUCCACUAUAUUAAGUGGUAUCAAUUAACCAUCGCCUUGGAGCUCUUUUACUGCAGAUAAGAAUAGUCCUGGUAACUAUGGAAUUCUUGAUCAAGCUAUGGCAUUGAACUGCCAAAGACAUAUCACUUUAUGAAACAGCUCUGGUGCUCGAGAGAUACAACAUCGUGGGGGACGGCAUUCUGCAGGCGCUCAUCCCGAUUUUAACCGGCAAGAUCGAGCUCGAGCUACCGGAGAUGCGUAAAGGAAUCUUAAGCGAAUUACGUUGACGUGUAUGGAACAAAUACGGGGAGCACGGAUACAUAACGGGUUUUAUGGAGAACAUGCGACACGUUCACUUAUCGCUUGAAAGGGUUUAACAAGCAACCGACUCACUACUACAUGCGCAUCUAUUACCUAGCUAUAAAUUAUAUGUCGACAAGUUGAUGUUAAAAGAAAAUAAAAGUUUUUAAUAAAUGAA